rnacentral:lncRNA from 1 species
CUUUUUUGUGUGUGCAGUUUUUAUUUUUAUUUUUAAUAUGUAUGUUAGAUCAGUUCAAUUAGAACUGAUCUAAUAAAAUUUAUUAUAAUAAUAAAUUUACCAUAGCUUUUUUGUGUGUGCAGUUUUUAUUUUUAUUUUUAAUAUGUAUGUUAGAUCAGUUCAAUUAGAACAGAUCUAACAAAGUUUACCAUAAUAACAAAUUUGACACCAUCUUACUUAUUACAUUGGAUGUAUAACAACCGAUCUAAUAUCGAUGAUGUAACAAGGUUAAAAUGCACUACUGAAACACUAACAUAAUAAAUACUAAUUUGUUAAGAAAAAAAAAGGUGAAGAAUUAAUUCUACACGCAUAAUUAAGAUAAAUGAUAUCUAUACAAAUUUUGCUAAAAUACACAAAAUGCAUGAAUUUUUGUUGUUGUCUUAUAUGAGAAAUUAAUAUAAGCAAAUUAAUGUAUAAUAUUGCAUAUGAUAAACCUCAUUAAAUUUUUAUUUUUUUCAUUACCUAUUUUUUCUAUUUGGUGAGAAUAGAAAGAUUACAGUGAGGCAAAUCCAUAAAACAAAUAAACAAAUAAUGAUGUAAUAAUAUUUUGCGGGAAAUAAUGAACAUCGUAAAUGUUAGAAAAGUUUGUUUUAUGAGACUUAUAAUUUGUUUCAAAUGUAGUUAGGUUAGAAGAAUAUUCCUUCUUAUCCUGCAAAACAAAAAGUAAUAUUCCUUAUAAUCAUAACCAUGAAGGGAAUCUUAAUAUUUAGAAAGAGUCCAUUCAACAAACUCAAAGAAAAACUUGUACAUUAUGCACCACGUCAAUAUCCCUUAUAAUGCUUUCCUAUGUCUAGCUAAUAAGAGUGUGUUAAGGGUCAUUUGGCCUUAAGAUCAC